rnacentral:rRNA from 1 species
CCCUAUGGGGUGCAGCAGUCAGGGAUUUUUUACAAUGCACGAAAGUGUGAUAAAGCGAGCCAGAGUGUUCUUCUAUAAGAAGAACUUUUGCCAGUUGUAAAAAGGCUGGCGAAUAAGGACUGGGCAAGACUGGUGCCAGCCGCCGCGGUAAUACCAGCGGUCCAAGUCGCGACCACGAUUAUUGGGUCUAAAACAUCCGUAGCUUGUUCUGUAAGUCCCUUGUGAAAUCUCGUGUCUCAAGCACGAGGCUGGCAAGAGAUACUGCAAGACUAGAGACUGGAAGACGUGAAGAGUACGGCCAAAGUAGCGGUAAAAUGCGUUGAUCUUGGUUGGACUAACAAUAGCGAAGGCACUUCGCGAGUACAGAUCUGACAGUGAGGGAUGAAGGCUAGGGGCGCAAAACGGAUUAGAUACCCGUGUAGUCCUAGCAGUAAACACUGCACACUAAACAUCGGUGCCUCCUCGAGAGGCGUCGGUGCUGCAGGGAAGCCGUAGAGUGUGCUACCUGGGAAGUAUAGUCGCAAGGCCGAAACUUAAAGGAAUUGGCGGGGGAGCACUACAACGGGUGACGCGUGCGGUUCAAUUAGAUUCCACACCGUGAACCUCACCAGGACCGACAGCAGGAUGAAGGUCAGUCUAAAGGGCUUACCUGACACGCUGAGAAGAAGUGCAUGGCC